GAUGAACGCUGGCGGCGUGCCUAAUACAUGCAAGUCGAGCGAACAGACGAGGAGCUUGCUCCUCUGACGUUAGCGGCGGACGGGUGAGUAACACGUGGAUAACCUACCUAUAAGACUGGGAUAACUUCGGGAAACCGGAGCUAAUACCGUAUAACAUGUUGAACCGCAUGGUUCAACAGUGAAAGACGGUCUUGCUGUCACUUAUAGAUGGAUCCGCGCCGCAUUAGCUAGUUGGUAAGGUAACGGCUUACCAAGGCAACGAUGCGUAGCCGACCUGAGAGGGUGAUCGGCCACGCUGGAACUGAGACACGGUCCAGACUCCUACGGGAGGCAGCAGUAGGGAAUCUUCCGCAAUGGGCGAAAGCCUGACGGAGCAACGCCGCGUGAGUGAAGAAGGUCUUCGGAUCGUAAAACUCUGUUAUUAGGGAAGAACAAAUGUGUAAGUAACUAUGCACGUCUUGACGGUACCUAAUCAGAAAGCCACGGCUAACUACGUG
rnacentral:rRNA from 1 species